rnacentral:rRNA from 1 species
UGCCACAGCCAUAUCAGCCCAAGACCGGUUACUCACUGAAGCUAAGCAGGGCUGAGCCUGGUCAGUCCCUGGAUGGGAGACCACAUGGGAAAACUAGAUUGCUGUUGGAA